rnacentral:lncRNA from 1 species
CCAUGUUCUAACCUUUUAUCCUUGAAACCUAAGUGGCAUGAACCACCAUCAUCAAUACAAUAUUGCCUUGAAAGUUCUCCAACAUAUCUGACAGCUAGGCUUGCAUGUUCUCCAAACUCAGCCACUGCUUGAGCAGCUGAGGUAGCAUCCUUAAAUUUCAUAUUCCAAUACUGCCUACCAACAGAAAAAUUACCAUUACCAUCUCAAGGAAAUGAUUGCCCAUGUUCCAACCUUUAAUCCUUGAAACCUAAGUGGCAUGAACCGCCAUCAUCAACACAAUAUUUCCUUCAAAGAUCUACAAUAGCUCUGGUCCCUAGGCUUGCAUAUUCUGCAAACUCAGUCGCUACUUGAGCAGCUGAGGUAGAAUCCUCAAAUUUCAUGUUCCAAUUCUGCUUGCCAAUAGAAAACUUACCAUUACCAUCUCCAGGAAAUGAUUGCCCAUGUUCCAACCUUUCAUCCUUGAAACCUAAGUGGCAUGAACCGCCAUCAUCAACACAAUAUUUCCUUGAAAGUUCUACAACAGCUCUGGCCGGCAGGCUUGCAUGUUCUGCAAACUCAGUCGCUACUUGAGCAGCUGAGGUAGAAUCCUCAAAUUUCAUGUUCCAAUUCUGCCUGCCAAUAGAAAACGUACCAUUACCAUCUCAAGGAAAUGAUUGCCCAUGUUCCAACCUUUCAUCCUUGAAACCUAAGUGGCAUGAACCACCAUCAUCAACACAAUAUUGCCUUAAAGGUUCUCCAACAGCUCUGGCAGCUAGGCUUGUAUGUUCUGCAAACUCAGCCGCUGCUUGAGCAGCAGAGGUAGCAUCCUUAAAUUUCAUGUUCCAAUACUGCCUGCCAACAGAAAAAUUACCAUUACCAUCUCAAGGAAAUGAUUGCCUAUGUUCCAACCUUUCAUCCUUGAAACCUAAGCGGCAUGAACCACAAACAUCAACACAAUAUUGCCUUGAAAGUUCUACAACAGCUCUGGCAGCUAGGCUUACAUGUUCUCCAAACUAAGCCGCAACUUGAGCAGCAGAGGUAGCAUCCUUAAACUUCAUGUUCCAAU